GCCAGCAGUCAAGCCACAACCAACCUUUUCUUCAAUUCUUCCAUCUCCCUCCUCUCCAAAGAAACAGAAACCCUAGCCUCACCGCCGCAAGCUACAAGAAGUGAGCCACCACCGCAGUCCGUUGCAGUCAAGGGCAGGUAUAAAGCACAGAAGCCUCACCUCCUAACCCUAGAGCUCCUUCUCUGAUUUCUUUUAUCUCCUUCCUUCUCCCCAAACAAAAACGAAAACCCUAGCCUGGUCGCCGUCUGUCGCAGUCAGGGGAUCGUCUCUUCAUUCCGUUGGCGUCCUCCAAAGAAGAACCCCUGUUGGCUCUCGGUCUUCGUUCUCUACUAUCGACGUUGUCUGCUCACAAUCGUCCUUCAAAGUAUUCUGCAAUAUGCUUUAAUGAAAUGGCUCAAGAUUGAAGAUGACGAGACAAUAUUCUUCAGAAAGCAACACGUACAGUGAGAUUACCACCUCUAGAAGAACUGUUUCUCAUGAUCUCAAAUCUGUGUUUUGAUGUUUUUUGAGUUUGAUCACUAUCUUUUUCUUCAUUGUCUUGUCUUUUUACUCCUUUACUACUCUUCGAUACUCUAUGUUUUUGUAGUGUAACCUUUGCUCGUUCCUUCUCUCCAGAAAGGUUGUUGCAGGAUUUGGUACUUGAUGUUAGUUUAGAAGAAGCCAAUUUUGAAUGAAAUCAGUUUUACAUCUUAUUAGUUUGGUGUUUGUUGACUGAACCAGAUUGGUAGGAAAAUCUUCACCAAAAGCUAUAAUUAUAUUUUAGGAUAUAUAUUUAUAAUUUAUUUAUUAUUUUAUUCUAUAACAAUUUUUUUAGUUGAACCACGAUUAGAUCGGUUGAACCGAUAAACCCGAAAAUCAGUGACUUAAACGGUUCGAUAAUCGGUCCGAUUCUUAGAACCUUGCUGUCUGAUGUGCCAAGAAUUAGGGGAAAUAGUAAAUCAUUGCAUAUUGGACUGUAAGCUUGCAAGAGAAAUUUGGCGAAAAGCUGAAUUUGAAAAUUUCCUCACCUUCAACAGCUCUGAAGAUUUCUGGAGGCAUUGGAUGAAGCCGAUAGAGGCGCUGAAGAGAAGACCCAAUUGGAAGACAAACACUGCUCUUGCUGCAAUUCUCGCUUGGAAGAAUUGGAUAGCACGGAACCUUAAAAUCUUUGAAGCCAAGGACUCCUCUAUUGAUGUGCUCUAUUCAUCUGUCGUGGAACUCCUUGAAGAAUUUGGGUAGAGAAAUGAAAGGUAUCAUUUGGCUGGAUUUGAUGGAGUAUCCACAGAAAAAGAGAAGAAGGCGAAUGAUGCUGUCAACCCUGAACUCUCUGCACUCAAACUUGAAUAACUCGAGCUACAUAGGUCCAAUGGACGUGAUUUUAGUGGCGUUGGAAAGCUAACUUCCAGAGCUUUCCAACGAUAUAUAAUAGUUCAUACUUCUCUUCCAUCAACUCUGCCAAGGCUGCGCCUAACUUGAGAAAUCUCAAGUUAUGCGCAAGACACAACAACAACACAAGUAAGGCGCAGCAAAGAAGGCCCCUUAAACCAAGUAAGGUGCACUUCCACCCCUCAAUCCAAGUAAGGUGCAGCAUUGAAGGGCAAGAUCAAGUUAGGCGUGGUCCACCCAUGAAUCUAGCAAGUAAGGCGUGCUCUUCAGUUGAAGUUAGGCACCUUGCGCCUUGUGUGGUGAACAGCAUGAAGUUAGGUGUGGAUUCUAGUGAAGUCAAGUGGUCCCAUGUUACAAGGCGCGGAUUAUUUAAUUAAUUCUGAUUUAAAUUUAAAUUUUAUUUUUUUUAAUAGAAAAAGAUAUUAUUUUAAUUUUAGAAAUUAGAUUUUAAAUUAAUUAGGAUUAGAUAUAAAAGAGAAAAGAAACUUCUCUUCUGGGGAGAAUUCCAUUCCACCUCAUUCGAAAUUUACAGUUUACCAGAAUCCUAGUUUUCACUCAUUUCCAUGAGUAACUAAACCUCCACUGUUAAGGUUAGGAGCUCUGUCUAUUGUAUGGAUUCAUUCUGUUUCUUUUUUUUUCCUAUUUUAAUUCAUGUACUGAUUUAUAUUUCAAGAAUUGUUUUCGUUCUUUAUUUUAUGAA